rnacentral:pre_miRNA from 1 species
AUUCUACUCCCUGCAUUGCACAAUACAUGCCUUCUAUUUGUCAAAGUAUAUAUGUAUCUAGACAUGUUUUAGUAUAUAGGUACAUCCAUUUUUGGACAAAUGGAAGUCAAGUAUUUUGGAACGGAGGGAGUACACA